AUUGAACGCUGGCGGCAUGCUUUACACAUGCAAGUCGAACGGUAACAGGGUGCUUGCACCGCUGACGAGUGGCGAACGGGUGAGUAAUGCGUCGGAACGUGCCGAGUAGUGGGGGAUAACGCAGCGAAAGUUGUGCUAAUACCGCAUACGUACUGAGGUAGAAAGUGGGGGACCUUCGGGCCUCACGCUAUUCGAGCGGCCGACGUCUGAUUAGCUAGUAGGUGAGGUAAAGGCUCACCUAGGCGACGAUCAGUAGCGGGUCUGAGAGGAUGAUCCGCCACACUGGGACUGAGACACGGCCCAGACUCCUACGGGAGGCAGCAGUGGGGAAUUUUGGACAAUGGGCGCAAGCCUGAUCCAGCCAUUCCGCGUGCAGGAUGAAGGCCUUCGGGUUGUAAACUGCUUUUGUACAGAACGAAAAGGCUCUGGUUAAUACCCGGGGCUCAUGACGGUACUGUAAGAAUAAGCACCGGCUAACUACGUGCCAGCCGCCGCCGUAA
rnacentral:rRNA from 1 species